rnacentral:RNase_P_RNA from 1 species
CUGGUCGACUGAGUGAUCGCGAGUACAAUGUGCUUGAGGAAAGUCCGCGCUCUAUAGGACAGCGUACCGGAUAACAUCCGGGUUAGGUAACUGACAGAAGGGUCACAGAGAUAUAUAUUGCCUAUUUAGUUUAUUUUAGGCGAGGGUGAAAUGGUGUGGUAAGAGCACACCGGUAUUUGUAGUAAUACAGGUAUCUAGACAUCCCUUACGUAGAGCAAGGCCAAGUAGGAACGAUGUGGUUGUCCGUCAC